UUAGAUCAGACUAGUGAUCCGUCUAGCCAGAUAGUCUGUCUCAACACAGAUGUGUGCCAAGCUCGUUAAAGAGACGUAAAGACCUACAGUAGGCCUCCACAGAAACAACUGCCAUAGAAAAAUCUCCCUGGGGUAAAAACCUCUUCUAAUCCCCAUUCAGUCAAUUGUGCUCUGAGCCCCCAAAUUCUCAAUUUCAUAUCCUCUUGUUUAAGAAGUAGGCUUUUAUUUGUUGGCCCUCUCCGUGCUGUGUGUGACCAUAGCAGCUUCAAGGAAUGGGAUGUGGAGCACAGUAAUUCCAUUGCUAACACAAUUCAGGUAUUAUAUGCACUGAUGUAUCUGAGUGUUUCUGUGAUCUUCUCUUAGUCUGAUGAUGUCACGAUACAUUUCAAAAGUAGCAGGUGUACAAUGUGAGGAAAAUGUUCUUUCGUUGUUGAGAGUUGUUAUUUUUUGCAGGGAGGAGUAAAGGGAAAGGAAGAAAAAGGUUAUAGAAUCAUAGAGUAUCUCCAGCUGGAAGGGGUCCCCAAGGGUCAUCGAGUCCAGCUCCUGGCUCAGUUCACCUCCUGGCUCUAACUAACUUCUAAACCUGUCAUUUCAACAGAUUGAAGGUUUCCCUCUUUAGAGGGAUUUAGAAGAUAAUGUUCACUUUAGAACAUCCAAUUUGCUUUCGUGUCAUUUCCAUGAAUGAAGCCAAGCAAGAACCUAUGUAACAUGAGGUUAAUGUUUCUGCAGAAAACUGUGAUCAGUACAGUUGCACCACUACAUUACAGCUGGAUGACAACCUGUGAACUCCAAUGCAGACACUGUUUAAUUUUAAGAAGUAUGGGUUUUUUCCAAAACUCAGAGAAAAGUUACUUAAGCCCAAGUCGUUUGCUAUCAACCAAGCUCCAGGCUAACAUAAAUAAAGUCCGUCAACAUAGAACUUGCAGAAGAGCUACAGCGUAGCUGAAUUCUCAUAAGCAUGUCUGAUGUGAUACAGGGAACAUGGGGAAAGAUGCCUGCCUUCAAUCCCCAGUGCUUACUGAACAAACCAGGCCCCACUGCAAUACUUGGCUUCUGCAUAACGACGUCAUGAAAUAGGACAAGUAAGGAAGUCUGAGAUGGGAUCGUGCUGCUGGAAAAUAGGGCUCUGCUCCUCUGAAGUGUUAAUGAGGCAACACCUGUUGAAGGCUGGAUAUUCCACAUGGGUCACAGAGGUAGGUGAGGAACGUACAGGGCUCCCUGCCUUGGAAAAGGUGCUGUAGUGUGCUCCUUCUGAUGAGGACACAGAUUAACUGGGUGAGAUACCUGUAUGAGCAGCUCACUACACAGAAACAGGAGGGGCAAGGCUUUGGCUUGGGUGCUCCUGCUCCUCAGAGGCAGAAGAAAGUUGCUAGAGGACUAUAUCUGUAUUUAUAACGUCAGUCUCAUGAGCAACUAUAUGUGGGAGCUGUGGCAGUAUUUUCUAUUUCAGUGAUGCCCAGAUAAAUCUUAGGAGCUAUCUCACAUCUUUUUUGAUUAAAUAGUACUUAA